rnacentral:misc_RNA from 1 species
AUACCAAAACGUUUUGAAAGACUCGUCGGCCAUUAACAGUAACGAGCGUUUUGUUGUCAACGUGCAGUUAUUUAACUUCUCCGGUACGCUUAACUGAAACGAUUCGAAACAUUCUUGAACAUCGAAGAACUGGAAGAUCUCAGUUUCGAAGACGACCUUUACGGCGAAAUUUCGAGCUUUACCAAAGAUAUUAGGACCAAUACAAGGUGCAGCGACAUGGAAGAAGAUGACCUGCCUCUGACGAAAUAUCUUCUCCAGUUUAAUACCGAACAGCAAUGGGAUUCAGAAGAAGAAAUUAGUAUUGAAAGUUUUGAAGGCAACACAUGUGCUGACCACCUAGGAUGGGAUAUGGAUCCGGUUGAUUUGGACACAGAGAUAUUCGAUAUUGUAGAGGCUACUCCUGAUAAAACAGAUGCUUCCAGCAAAGAGGAGCAAGUAAAAGAGUUGAAAGGGAGAGUGGAGAAGUCGGGUCCCGUCAGAGAGACAAGCAAUGUGGGGAAUUUACAAGAGGACGUAGACUUAAGCUUAUUUCAUGAUAAGAGUGAUAGCGGUAAGAAACAGGAGAUCAAGAAAAAGAACACUGCGGGUAAAAGUCUUUCGAAAGUUGAUUCAGUUCCUAAUGGAAGAAAAUCAACAAAAAGUCAAACACAGUUUAAGAUGGCUGUAAAGAGUGUUUCUAAUUCAACAACUGAGCCUCAGAAAUCCCCGACCACUGCAAAAAGUCAGGCCGAGAAAGCUAAAGAACAGCGUGAAAGAAAGAAGAAAUAUGUUCAAGAACUCCAGGAUAACAUAGAAGAACUGAAGAAAGACAAGGCUGACUUACAGCAGGUCACUGCUCAGCUAAACGACAAAUUAGAAGCUCUCACGGAUGAGAUCCGCUACUUAAAAGGUGUAAUCACCAAUCAAAGUGAAUUAGCCAGAAUUUUGAGGAGUGUGGCCAACACUCCAGGGAUUUCACUCAGCUGCGGCAUAUUGCAGGACUGUGAGGAGGGUAAUGAUGGUAAGACAAACAAGAGAAAAUGUGGUGAUGCUCCAAAUGAUUCUGGUAAGAAGGGUGUUAAUUUACGUCAAGAAAACAGCAAGAGAAGGAGAGUAGACAAGACAGCUACUGGUGAAAUCAGUCCUGUUGAUGCUGGGGUGUGUGUUCAUGUGCAGAGUGGUAAAGUAUCUCUUGAGUUCUGUGCAGAGUGCAGCAAGAAAGCCAACAGUAUCAUAAACUGAAGUGAACCAAAGCUAAAGGGAAAUGUAAUUAAUUAUUGCAUAGCUAUGAAGAUCCCUCUUCCCAACAGUAGUUAGGGAUUCAGUCGAACUGUUUCCACAUGACUGCAGCAAACUCAGCGUCAGUCAUUCAGGCUAGCAUGGUGGGCCUUUGUCUUGUAGUUUAGGGAUUUGCAGCUAUAGUAUUGGUUUGUACACAGUCAGGUAGAUUUUAUUGACUACAAGUAACUUGGUAAGUUGCUUAUUACUGGCUUAAAUCAGGUUAGUGCUGUACAAUUCAAAUCUGAACAGAAGCCAUUUAACUCAAAGUCAGGAAAUUUUUCCCAUGUCAGUCAUUUGCUGCAGUCAUUUGGAAACAGAUUCCCAAGAGAAAGCCGGCGCCUUUAUACAAGGUUGAUAUUUAGCACUAACAAAGGGAGUGAUCUCCCACAGUCUUUUCUCCUUGCAGGUUUCAACCAACAUUUGUGGACAUUUGAUGUUGACACAUCUGGUGCUGGAAUGAAUGCACUGUAGCGGAUACUUGCAACUCCUUGCACCCUCCGGAGUCAAGUGUCUUUCCUUGGGGUGUGGUUUUAGUGUAAGUAAUGUUCCUUCACGGUUUAGUAAGUAUAAGUAUGUGAGGAACACAGGUAAUGGUUGUAAUGUAAGACUGUCACAAAAUACAUUCUCUUUUUGUAAUUUAUCUUUAAAGGGACUCUUUUAAUUGCAUUAUUCCUUCUCAGUAACAACAGAUUUUCUUAGGAAGAUGUAGGGACCUCCUCCUCCUCCUACCCUCCCCUCCCUCCUGUCCACCCACCAUGCCAAAAGAAAAGUUGUCAAUACCAGUAAUUUGACCUUCAGAAGCAUCAGCAACUCAGAAACAACUUUCCAUCACCAGGAAAGUGUGUCGAUUAAGCUAGAGGUUUGCGCAGGCCUGGGGUGAAACAGUGUUACAUGUUUAUUUACGAUUAACGUAAUCUUAUCACUACAUGUACAUACAACUUACGGUAUAUUGUUGUACUAGCCUGUUAUAAAUUGUAGCAAUUCAUGGAAUCUGAAUUUGAAUAGAAUAUUUUUCUCUGAUUUUGAACAUGAGAAUUCAGAAGGACCGAGGUAAAAUGGUGUAUGUAAGAACAACUUUUUUUAUAUAUUAUUAAUUAUGUAGUGGCAAUGUUACUUUAAAUUAAGAAGUUUGGGUACUACCGGUACAUGUAUGUUACUAGAAGCUGAGAACAGAAAUGAUACUACACAAUCUUAGCUCAAAAUGGUUAUAUUGUAAUGGUAAAGCGAAACUGGUUUAGUAAAGUUGUGAAAUAAAACAUGAUUAUGCCAGAUUA